GCUGGGCAUGGUGGUGCACACCUGUAAUCCCAGUGGCUCAGGAGGCUGAGGCAGGAGGAUCAUGAGUUCAAAGCCAGCUUCAGCAAUUUAGUGCAGCUCUAAGCAAUUCAGUGAGAUCCUGUAUCUA
rnacentral:sRNA from 1 species